rfam:Apaloderma vittatum contig9673, whole genome shotgun sequence.
GGCCUGUUAGCUCAGUUGGUUGAGCUUGGUGCUGAUAACACCAAGGUUGCAGGUUCAAUCUCCGUUCAGUCCC